GAUGAACGCUGGCGGCGUGCUUAACACAUGCAAGUCGAACGAGAAAUGUAGACGGAAACCUUCGGGCGGAAGCCUUCAUUUCGAGUGGCGGACGGGUGAGUAACGCGUGGGUAACCUGCCUCAUACAGGGGGAUAACAGUUGGAAACGACUGUUAAUACCGCAUAAGACCACAGCAUCGCAUGAUGCGGGGGUAAAAACUCCGGUGGUAUGAGAUGGACCCGCGUUCGAUUAGCCAGUUGGCGGGGUAACGGCCCACCAAAGCGGCGAUCGAUAGCCGAUCUGAGAGGAUGACCGGCCACAUUGGGACUGAGACACGGCCCAAACUCCUACGGGAGGCAGCAGUGGGGAAUAUUGCACAAUGGGGGAAACCCUGAUGCAGCGACGCCGCGUGAGUGAAGAAGUACUUCGGUAUGUAAAGCUCUAUCAGCAGGGAAGAAAAUGACGGUACCUGAGUAAGAAGCCCCGGCUAACUACGUG
rnacentral:rRNA from 1 species